UCGGGAAUAUUGCGCAAUGGAGGAAACUCUGACGCAGUGACGCCGCGUAUAGGAAGAAGGUUUUCGGAUUGUAAACUAUGUCGUGAGGGAAGAAAUUGACAGUACCUCAGGAGGAAGCUCCGGCUAACUAUGUGCCAGCAGCCGCGGUAAUACAUAGGGAGCAAGCGUUAUCCGGAUUUAUUGGGUGUAAAGGGUGCGUAGACGGGAAAUUAAGUUAGUUGUGAAAUCCCUCGCUUAACUGAGAACUGCAACUAAAACUGGUUUUACUUGAGUACUGGAGAGGAAAGUGGAAUUCCUAGUGUAGCGGUGAAAUGCGUAGAUAUUAGGAGGAACACCAGUGGCGAAGGCGACUUUCUGGACAGUAACUGACGUUGAGGCACGAAAGUGUGGGGAGCAAACAGGAUUAGAUACC
rnacentral:rRNA from 1 species